rnacentral:rRNA from 1 species
GGCGUGCCUAAUACAUGCAAGUCGAGCGAACGGACGAGAAGCUUGCUUCUCUGAUGUUAGCGGCGGACGGGUGAGUAACACGUGGAUAACCUACCUAUAAGACUGGGAUAACUUCGGGAAACCGGAGCUAAUACCGGAUAAUAUUAUGAACCGCAUGGUUCAAAAGUGAAAGACGGUCUUGCUGUCACUUAUAGAUGGAUCCGCGCUGCAUUAGCUAGUUGGUAAGGUAACGGCUUACCAAGGCAACGAUGCAUAGCCGACCUGAGAGGGUGAUCGGCCACACUGGAACUGAGACACGGUCCAGACUCCUACGGGAGGCAGCAGUAGGGAAUCUUCCGCAAUGGGCGAAAGCCUGACGGAGCAACGCCGCGUGAGUGAUGAAGGUCUUCGGAUCGUAAAACUCUGUUAUUAGGGAAGAACAUAUGUGUAAGUAACUGUGCACAUCUUGACGGUACCUAAUCAGAAAGCCACGGCUAACUACGUGCCAGCAGCCGCGGUAAUACGUAGGUGGCAAGCGUUAUCCGGAAUUAUUGGGCGUAAAGCGCGCGUAGGCGGUUUUUUAAGUCUGAUGUGAAAGCCCACGGCUCAACCGUGGAGGGUCAUUGGAAACUGGAAAACUUGAGUGCAGAAGAGGAAAGUGGAAUUCCAUGUGUAGCGGUGAAAUGCGCAGAGAUAUGGAGGAACACCAGUGGCGAAGGCGACUUUCUGGUCUGUAACUGACGCUGAUGUGCGAAAGCGUGGGGAUCAAACAGGAUUAGAUACCCUGGUAGUCCACGCCGUAAACGAUGAGUGCUAAGUGUUAGGGGGUUUCCGCCCCUUAGUGCUGCAGCUAACGCAUUAAGCACUCCGCCUGGGGAGUACGACCGCAAGGUUGAAACUCAAAGGAAUUGACGGGGACCCGCACAAGCGGUGGAGCAUGUGGUUUAAUUCGAAGCAACGCGAAGAACCUUACCAAAUCUUGACAUCCUUUGACAACUCUAGAGAUAGAGCCUUCCCCU